rnacentral:rRNA from 1 species
GAUGAACGCUAGCGGCAGGCUUAAUACAUGCAAGUCGAGGGACAGCACAGGUAGCAAUACUGGGUGGUAACCGGCAAACGGGUGCGGAACACGUACGCAACCUUCCUUUAAGUGGGGGAUAGCCCAGAGAAAUUUGGAUUAAUACCCCGUAAUAUAGUUGAAUGGCAUCACUUGAUUAUUAUAGCUACGGCGCUUAAUGAUGGGUGUGCGGCGGAUUAGAUAGUUGGCGGGGUAACGGCCCACCAAGUCUACGAUCAGUAGCUGAUGUGAGAGCAUGAUCAGCCACACGGGCACUGAGACACGGGCCCGACUCCUACGGGAGGCAGCAGUAAGGAAUAUUGGUCAAUGGACGCAAGUCUGAACCAGCCAUGCCGCGUGAAGGAUUAAGGUCCUCUGGAUUGUAAACUUCUUUUAUUUGGGACGAAAAAGGGCCUUUCUAGGUCAACUGACGGUACAGAUGAAUAAGCACCGGCUAACUCCGUGCCAGCCGCCGCCGUAAAAC